CGGUCAACGCUUUUCUUCUUUCUGAGAUACAAUUGGUGAAAUACAAAUCUUGUUGCGUAGUGCCUACGUCCUCAACAAAGGUGGCAACAAAAAGUCCGCCAGAGGGAUGCAGGAAACACACAAUGCCACUGCAACAACGAUAUUGGUUAAAAAUAUUCUAAAACAGACGGUCAUAAUACUUAAUAUAGUAUAGCUAAGUCUUUCGCCGCGCUGGUCAAUGAAGUGAGUUCGUCGAAAACUUGGAUAUCAGACAGCGAGAGAUUUCGGAAGGCCAUGCUUUUGUUUUUUGCGGUGGGUUCACUGGCCACGUUAAAAUUGAAGAUUUAUGGGCUUCAGUGUGGCCUUUGCACAGGUGACGCAAAGUACUUGUUGACAUCUACGGCAUCUUUGGCGCUGCUGGUAGAGGGUGCCCAUUGUGAGAAUUACCGCUCAUACUCUUAUUGCGCCCAGAUCGUUGACGGAAUCCAUCCUUUAUUCCAUUUAUCGAGGGG
rnacentral:sRNA from 1 species